rnacentral:rRNA from 1 species
UACGUAGGUGGCAAGCGUUAUCCGGAUUUAUUGGGUGUAAAGGGCGUGUAGGCGGGAAUGCAAGUCAGAUGUGAAAACUAUGGGCUCAACCCAUAGCCUGCAUUUGAAACUGUAUUUCUUGAGUGCUGGAGAGGCAAUCGGAAUUCCGUGUGUAGCGGUGAAAUGCGUAGAUAUACGGAGGAACACCAGUGGCGAAGGCGGAUUGCUGGACAGUAACUGACGCUGAGGCGCGAAAGCGUG